GAAAUCCAUUUCUUUAUUUUGCAAUGGAUGAGGGGAAUUCCUAAGCUUUCUUUCCAGGAAUCACAUUUGUAGGUGGAUACCUUGUUCCACUACUUGCUGUGGGACAGACCACAUCCACCCAGUGACAAGUGAAAAGAAGCAGAGUAUCCUCAGUCAAAAGCCUUUUCCUGAAAGCCCCCAGGAAAGCAGGAAGCAUCUGAGCCAGGCUGAUGAAGUCCACGAGGCAGCAAAUGUGACUCAGGUGCCUGAAUUCUUCGCCUAAAUGAUUCAUUACCGCCAUAAAAGAGCAAUUCCCUCUGUCGACACUGAAUACCAUAGCUCUCUGCUCACUGGAAAAUAUUACCAUCUCUAAGAAAUAGCAGAAGUAUAACUUAUGGAACUCAGAAGAGAAGAAAGUAUUAUGUCAUGAAGUGAAUAAGUGAAGAGAAAUAGGCCUAAGAGUAUCCUUUAGCAAGUCUGAGGCGAAAAGAACAAGUUCUCCAUCUUUGGAAUUAAGGAGCGAGGAGUUAUUCCCAGAAGGCCAAGAGAAUGAGAAGAAGCGUUAUUGGUCUAUUCAAGAUUUUUCACCCUUCCUUGAACCAAGUUUGAGAAAUUUUACUGUCCUAGAAAUUCAUCAAAUGUGUGGAGACUUUCGAACUUAUUAACAAAUACUAGCAUUGUACAUUGAACUACUCUACAGAUAAAUCUUUGAUUUAUUUUCCUAACAAAAAGCAGCUCGCGUUCAACAGAGAAGCCACGAAAAGCACAGAAAAUCCCAAUGGAAAAAAAUCUCCAAAGUUCACUUGUGAAUCUACUGUCUAAAGACAAUUGCAUAAUGAGGAUUUUUUGUGUGUCUUUUUAGUCUUCUCUUCUUUCUCUCUCCAUUUGUAUACAUGGAGAGUUAUAAAAACAGUAUCAGAUUGUGUAAACAUGUUGGCUGCUGGUUUUCUCACCAUUAUGUUGUGAAUGUGUCAACGUUUUUUCCAUUUGCUUUUUAUUUUUGUUUGAAUGUUCAUG
rnacentral:lncRNA from 1 species